rnacentral:lncRNA from 1 species
UGCUCUCUUCUCCUCCUGCUGCCGAUUGAUUCAGCUUGUGGCCGCCGGUUGAGCAAGGAGACAGUCGGCGAGGGCGUCGAGGAAGCCGCGGAGCAAGAUGCAGAGGAGGCAUGGAGAUGUGAGUUUUGUUUUUCUUCUUUUUGUUGACCGAAAUGAUUAUUGAUUGAUUCAUUCAAGUGGAACCUCCAAUGAUUGCACCAAUAACCACUGAGGCCUCGAUCAAUGCAACAGUCUUGUGGAGAUGGAUGUACUCAAGGCGGUCAAGAGGUACGUACGGUCUUAGGUGGUGUUUGUUUCUCUAGUCCUAGGACUUUUUCUAGUCCCUGGGACUUUUUAAAAAAGACUCUCAAGGAGGUGCUUCUAAGGACUUUUAGCAAAAAGUCUCAAAAAAGUCCCACCCUGUUUGGUUUGCUAGGGACUUUUUCUAGUCCCUACACCAAAAAGUCCCUGAAAACAAACACCCCCUUAGUUGAGCCAGUCAUCUCCAGAUCAACAACCUAACAACAAGUACGUAGACACCCAUUAUAUUCUGACAACUUGUGUGGUAGGAAUAGGAUAAUUUCAAUUUGUAAUUCAAAUGUAGCGUACGGAGAUACCAAUGCAAACCAUCCUUCUUAAUUACAAUAUCUUCAAAUGAUUCACAGAUCAAUUAGAACAUUUCCAGUCUGUACUAUUUGGGCGACAAAAUCUGAAUAGAUCAACCUGCUGACCUGGCCGGCGACGAGGCCCUCUGAUCCGAUGCAGCGCCGUGAGCUCGCCAAUGGCAUGGACAAGUCGAGCGGUGUGCUUGUCGGGACCGAUGUCUGGAGGAUAGAAGUUGAUGCUGGCCAUAUGCCGGAAGGCAAGCGCAAAACAUUGAUACGAUUUAAAUUUUCGGGUCCCUUUAUUGAUCAGCGUAUCAUUGGGAAGAAACCUAUUGGAGAAAGCGAGGCAUAAAAAUGGGAAAUUAUUAAUAGUAAGUGGCUGUUGAUGUACAAAUGCACACUAGUUCUGAAUAAAUAGACGGACCUUUUCUUCCUUCUGCUCUUCAAUAUUUUCUUCUUCUGGAAGAGGCUAGCAGUCUUAACAUCAUGCUGGUUUGAGGGGGAAAAGCCAUUUACUCUAUUUGUCACACGAUUUUUUGUAAACAAAAAAAUAGCAAAUGAGCCUACUGCAGCAGGAAUCCAGAUUCUUAUUCUGAAUAAUGUCAUCAAGAGAAACAAAAAAGCUUGUUUUUGUGACAAUAAUUUAUUCAAUGAAAAAGAGUACAUGAGGCCCGGGUGGAGUAAUAUAAGUUAAUUUGUUACGGAUAGGGACUCUUACAAGUGAGAUCCUCGAGUCCAAAAACUCAGUGCACUAGAUGAUCUUCUUACGGAUCACUCCUAUGUUGUCUCUUUCUAGCUGUUGGGCCCUUCGUCAUCGGUAUCCUAAUACUCCUCUGCUCCUUAUUCCCCUGGACUGGGAUCUUGUUCGCCACCAUAGCCAUGGUAGAGAGCACAGCCUGACACGGACAUUGCCCCAUUUGGCUUCCUCAAAGUUGUCAUUAUGGAUAUUGUCAUGUCUACAAGAAGCAAUCGCUUGGCAAUUUGUUGCUUCAAAAACAUCUUCUGGAAUCAUAUGGGGUUAGAGGUGUUCUGGUUGCAUGGCAGGUGUUCUCCCGAAAGCUAGACUGGUCACUGAGGUUCCUAGUUCCAGUUCCAUCAGCAUACCCUGCCAAAUGGUGAGCUCACAUCGCUGUGGUUUUAGAGCUCUUUUUUCCAUCACCUUUUUGACUCUCACAUUUUUGUUUUCCUCCAAUAUCUAAGAUGGAAUGAGGCUAAAGGCGGAAGCAAAUCUGAAUGCAUACCAGACACUUUGACAUCCUAAUUAAGGCAGGGGUAUAUAUAAGACUUAGUCUGUCCUAUGUCAUAAAUUCUCACCAUACUCCAUCACAAGACUGGGAAGUAAGAACAGACAGUUUUUCAAGCUCAUUUUUUUUGAUGCGAGGAUGACUCAGCCUCUGCAUCUGGGCGAUGCAUGCAUCCAUUUUAUUAAUCAUUCACAAAGAC